rnacentral:rRNA from 1 species
UACGUAGGGUGCAAGCGUUAAUCGGAAUUACUGGGCGUAAAGCGUGCGCAGGCGGCUUUGCAAGACAGAUGUGAAAUCCCCGGGCUUAACCUGGGAACUGCAUUUGUGACUGCAUGGCUGGAGUGCGGCAGAGGGGGAUGGAAUUCCGCGUGUAGCAGUGAAAUGCGUAGAUAUGCGGAGGAACACCGAUGGCGAAGGCGGAUCUCUGGACAGUUCCUGACGCUGAGGCGCGAAGGCCAGGGGAGCAAACGGG